UGGUUGAUCCUGCCAGUAGUGUAUGCUUCUCCUAAAGACUAAGCCAUGCAUGUCUAUGAGUAAGAGGAAGCAAUUCUCUCUGAAUCUGCGAACGGCUCCGCAAACCAGUUGUAAACUAUCGCAAGCAUUCCCAGGGUAUACUUGAAAGGGUGGUGCCCUGGGUUAAAUGGAUAACCCUGGUAAUUCUGAGGCUAAUACAAGAACAAAACCAUCCAGGUUGGAUCAGCUCACGCUGUGAUAACUUGGUGGGGAUGUGUAAUUGGAAAGCUUGGGAAUGCUGGGACAGGAUACACAUCCAGACCACUUUAUAAGGAGGCAUGCCUUUAACACCAUUCUGCUCCUCAGGGGUGGGUGCUGUAUAAAGGAUUUUGGCUCUCGUGGCUCUUGCAGUGUGCUUCUGACCUAUCAACUAGAUGGCAGCCUAUAGGACAUGCCAUGGUUACAACGGGUACAGAGGAUCAGGGUUCGAUCCUGGAGAGUGGGCCUGAGAGAUUGCUCAUACUUCUAAGGAAGGCAGCAGGCGCGCAACGUUCCCAGUSGCCAUCGGCCGAGGGCGUUA
rnacentral:rRNA from 1 species